GGGGUUGUGGCUCAAUGGUAGAGCACUUGCCUAGCAUGUGUGAGGCACUGGGUUCAAUCCCUAGCUCCA
rnacentral:tRNA from 1 species